UACGUAGGGUGCUAGCGUUGUUCGGAAUCAUUGGGCGUAAAGCGCGUGUAGGUGGCUGUUUAAGUUGUAUGUGAAAUGCCUGGGCUCAACCGAGGAACUGCAUACAAAACUAGACAGCUAGAGGACGGUAGAGGGAGGUGGAAUUCCUAGUGUAGAGGUGAAAUUCGUAGAUAUUAGGAGGAAUACCUGAGGCGAAGGCGGCCUCCUGGGCCGUUCCUGACACUGAGACGCGAAAGCGUGGGGAGCAAACAGG
rnacentral:rRNA from 1 species